UUUCUUUAUUGAAGAACCAUGAAUAGAAACCACGCUGCAUUUUGGUCCACCUCUCCUUCACCACAAGAAAACCGUUACAGUUUGUAUAUUGACCUCGUUUCCACUUUCCCUCUGUAGCGCCACAAUUUCUGUACAAGACAUCCAUCCAUCCCUUGCUUUAUCCUUUGCUCCAACUGUCGCUCCAUCCAUCCAUUUUCUACCACAACAUGAAUUCUUAUUAGAGAGGUUAGGUAUUUAUAAACUCUCCCCUGCCAACAUUUGGGACAAUUUGUGAAAGGUAGCCCUUGCUGCCAACACUCCAAGCCCUCAACAGCUAAACAAGAUAAGCAGACAGCCAUGUUUCCCUCGUAACAAAACUGAGCGCUGAGGCGUGGACCAGACAGGUUUAAAUAUAGCCGCUGAUAAGAUAGAUCAUUUGUCUCUGUUUAGUUGUCUACGAUUAUGUCACUUAACCUGGCAUGUCACUUUGUGUCCCCUAAGACAGUUUGGACCACCAAGCUAUUGAAGAUAAUUACUUUUUGUUUGCAAGCUCGUACAGUGUCCGUACAGACACAUAGUCAAUAAGUGGACAAGAUGGCUAAAGGAUGUUCUUUCAGUGGAUAAAAGAGACCAAUAUCCUAGUCAAAAGAUGCCUCCAGUACAAUGGCAUGCAAGCAGGACCUUUCAUGGACUCCCACAGGUUGCGGCCAACGAUGGAGGCCCUCAAGGACUGCACCUCGGCCGGGGAAACAAGUCGGGAUACAUGGAGGUGGAAAUCCUGAACCCCCAAAAGGAAAGGCCCAUGAAUAUUGAAACUCCUACUCUCUGAGCUGAAGACUUGUCAUUGGGAGGCAGCUCGUUAGAGACUUCCCCUGUAAUGUGGGAGGAAGCUCAUUAGAGAAAUGCUAAGGCGUGGAGAGGAAAGCAGGAAGGGGAGACACAUGCAGCAGAGGGGAAUGGAAGUCAGAGACAUUCGGAUAAUUAAUGUUUGUCUCCUCCCAGUGGCUGACUCCUGGGGACAUCGUGCUUUAUCAAGCGCAAAGCCCCAAGAGUGUAUUGCCGCAGCAAAGGUGUGGUGACACAGGUACUGUACAUAGAAAGAGAGGAGAGGGCCGGCACCACAUGACACUGCACCGCAUUGUAAUCUAACAAUUAGUCCAAUUGAGCAAUCUCAUCUGUUGUCCAACUGGACAGUUGUGUAUUAUGCAGAUGCCAUUUCGACUAAAUAAAUCUCAUUCGUAACGCUUAUGUAAUUCUCAUGUGAUCUUCUGCUGUUAAAAGUUCAAUUGAAGCUUGAAGAAAGUGUUAAUGAAUGUCUACUGGUAAAUAUAUCAUUGGGUGUUUAAGAUGUGUGGAAUAAGAUCUCACCAUGACAGAAGGGUAUAUUUGAUAAGCAUUGUUUAUAAAAAU